CCUACGGGAGGCUGCAGUGGGGAAUAUUGGACAAUGGGGGGAACCCUGAUCCAGCCAUGCCGCGUGUGUGAAGAAGGCCCUCGGGUUGUAAAGCACUUUCAGUGAGGAAGAACGCCUGGUGGUUAAUACCCAUCAGGAAAGACAUCACUCACAGAAGAAGCACCGGCUAACUCCGUGCCGGCAGCCGCGGUAAUACGGAGGGUGCGAGCGUUAAUCGGAAUUACUGGGCGUAAAGCGCGCGUAGGUGGCUUGAUAAGCCGGUUGUGAAAGCCCCGGGCUCAACCUGGGAACGGCAUCCGGAACUGUCAAGCUAGAGUGCAGGAGAGGAAGGUAGAAUUCCCGGUGUAGCGGUGAAAUGCGUAGAGAUCGGGAGGAAUACCAGUGGCGAAGGCGGCCUUCUGGACUGACACUGACACUGAGGUGCGAAAGCGUGGGUAGCAAACAGGAUUAGAUACCCGAGUAGUC
rnacentral:rRNA from 1 species